CACAAGACCCUGGGAUCAUGACCUGAGCCGAAGGCAGAUGUUUAACGAACUGAGCCACCCAGGAUGAAACGAGAAAGUACUUUGCUGAGUGUAAUCAUCAUCAUCAUCAUCAUUAUCAUCAUCAUGCUAGCCCCAAAACAACCACAUGCCCUCUUUUAACAGGUUUUCCUAUCUGUAAAAUCAAAGAGUUGGAUUGGAUAAUUUUUUAAACUUUUUAUUAUGGCAAAUGUUGGGGCUGUACAAAAGUCUUGAGAAUAGUUAAUCCCUAAGCUGAAAUAUUUAUUAGCUCAUGGUCAGUAUAAUCCUUUAUUCUUAUGCCUUCUACCCUAGACUAUUCCCAGGCAUUUUAUUUUAGGCCAGAUAAUUUUGUAUUACCUUUCUAAUUCUAAAAGAUUAUAAUAAAUCCAGCAACUGGUGGAA